UACGGAGGGUGCAAGCGUUAUCCGGAUUCACUGGGUUUAAAGGGUGCGUAGGCGGGCCUGUAAGUCAGUGGUGAAAUCCUGGGGCUUAACCCCAGAACUGCCGUUGAUACUAUAGGUCUUGAAUGUUGUGGAGGUGAGCGGAAUAUGUCAUGUAGCGGUGAAAUGCUUAGAGAUGACAUAGAACACCAAUUGCGAAGGCAGCUCACUACGCAACGAUUGACGCUGAGGAGCGAAGGCAUGGGGAGCGAACAGG
rnacentral:rRNA from 1 species